AAAAAAACACAUUCACUUCCGGGUCGUGCACAUUGGAAGAACGCUUUCCAGUUUGUUCGCUGGUUUCGGCCGAGGGUGGUGUUCCUUAGACCGUGGUCGCUAUGGCCCGAAAUGCAGAGAAGGCCAUGACGGCCUUGGCAAGAUUUCGCCAAGCUCAGUUAGAAGAAGGAAAGGUUAAGGUAACUACAGCAAUGUGUUUAUAUGUAAAGUGCCAUGGGACCUCUUGUUACAAAUUUUGAAAUAGAUUGCUUUGAAUUUCAAUUCAUUGUAAGCCCUAAUGUGGCUGACAUCUUUCUUUCCUCAGAUAUUGCCCUUUGAACACAAUAGCUCUUAUCUAAGUAAUAAUACUAAGGUUUUAAUCCAGGAGGUAUGUACAAUGGUGCCUC